GACGAACGCUGGCGGCGUGCCUAAUACAUGCAAGUCGAGCGAAGUUUUUCUGGUGCUUGCACUAGAAAAACUUAGCGGCGAACGGGUGAGUAACACGUAAAGAACCUGCCUCAUAGACUGGGACAACUAUUGGAAACGAUAGCUAAUACCGGAUAACAGUAUUUCUCGCAUGAGAGAUAUUUAAAAGUUGGUUAUGCUAACACUAUGAGAUGGCUUUGCGGUGCAUUAGCUAGUUGGUGGGGUAAAGGCCCACCAAGGCGACGAUGCAUAGCCGACCUGAGAGGGUGAUCGGCCACACUGGGACUGAGACACGGCCCAGACUCCUACGGGAGGCAGCAGUAGGGAAUCUUCCGCAAUGGGCGAAAGCCUGACGGAGCAACGCCGCGUGAGUGAAGAAGGAUUUCGGUUCGUAAAGCUCUGUUGUUAGGGAAGAAUGGAUAUGUAGUAACUAUACAUAUAAAAGACG
rnacentral:rRNA from 1 species